rnacentral:snRNA from 1 species
GUACUCAUUCCAGCAGCACAUAUAUUGAAAUUGAAACGAUACAGAGAAUAUUAGCAUGUCCUCUGCAGGAUGAUAUGCAAAAUUUAACAGGGAAGAAAGCACCCU